UUGGUUUGUCUUAAAUCAAACUUGUCCAACUUUGACCAAGUUUAUAGAAAAAUAUAACAAUAUCUACGCUACCAAAUAUAUGCACUAUCAAAAUAUAUUCUAUGGUGGAUUCAAUGAAACAAAUUUAGCAUUGUAGAUAUUGUUAUAUUUUUCUAUAAACUUGGUCAAAGUUGAACAAGUUUGACUUAGGACAAACCAAA
rfam:Dichanthelium oligosanthes cultivar Kellogg 1175 unplaced genomic scaffold Do_version_2_scaffold592, whole genome shotgun sequence.